rnacentral:rRNA from 1 species
GAUGAACGCUGGCGGCGUGCCUAAUACAUGCAAGUCGAGCGAACGGACGAGAAGCUUGCUUCUCUGAUGUUAGCGGCGGACGGGUGAGUAACACGUGGAUAACCUACCUAUAAGACUGGGAUAACUUCGGGAAACCGGAGCUAAUACCGUAUAAUAUUUUGAACCGCAUGGUUCAAAAGUUAAAGACGGUCUUGCUGUCACUUAUAGAUGGAUCCGCGCUGCAUUAGCUAGUUGGUAAGGUAACGGCUUACCAAGGCGACGAUGCAUAGCCGACCUGAGAGGAGGAUCGGCCACACUGGAACUGAGACACGGUCCAGACUCCUACGGGAGGCAGCAGUGGGGAAUUUUGCACAAUGGGCGCAAGCCUGACGCAGCAAUGCCGCGUGAGGGAAGAAGGCCUUCGGGUUGUAAAACCCUGUUUUUAGGAAAGAAAAAACGUUGAAGAAAACCCGGCCCUAAUGACGGUACCUAAAGAAAAAGCACCGGCUAACUACGUG